ACGCGCGCUGCUGGCCGUCGAGGAAGCCGCCGCCCGCACGGACGCGCAGUGUCACAGCGGACGAGGACGGCCCUAUCGGAGCAGAGCCCGCGGAGGCUCUGCGCCCGACAUCUCACCCGUGACCCUUGGUUCCUGGCGGCUCACUCACUUUCCCACCUGCUUUUCUUCGCGAUCCCCUGCCCUCCUGGGACUCUUGGUGGUGUCCACUGCCUGCCCAGGACCAAAACUGUCCAUGAAACAAAACUUUGUUCCACGGUAAAGGAAGAAGACGGGCUCGUCCGGGAUUUGAACCCGGGACCUCUCGCACCCAAAGCGAGAAUCAUACCCCUAGACCAACGAGCCAGCUGCUAAAUCCCAGCCUCGUUUACUCCGUGAUCUGAUUCUAUAUGGCGUCGUUUCAUCAUCGAGAAAGUCAUCCUGCUUUCUGGUAUGCUGGGACCACAAGCCUCCCAGCUCGCCCUACCCAUCUCCACGUCUGCGGUGAACUCUCAGCGUAAACGCUCCGCAUCCCUUGGCCCCUCUGCGAUCUGGCGUGCGAAUGAGGGCCUCAUUGCUGGGGCUACUGGGGCAGCAGGCAGGGGCAUCCUUCCUCUUUGGGGACCGGGAACCCCCUCCCAAAGAAGUCCAAAUAAGAUGUAAGCCUGGAGAUCCAGGGGCAGGGGGGGCAGAGUCCCGGAGAACCGGAGGGCUCCUGGAGACGCCGGACGCCGGGCUUGGAGGGGACGUGGGACGGACUGGGUCGUGAACCGCGACAGGCGAGACGAACCCCAGGGAAUCCCUUCAUGUGGGGCCUCUGGUGAGGGGUGGGGACUUUUCUUUAUUGUUUUAUGAAAAUACUGAAAACAACAUAUACUUAUUUGGAAAUGUUCAGAAAAUGUAGGGAAAUGAAAGGCGGAAAUGAGAUGACCAGGAACCCCGCUCCCUCGAGAGUGACGGCCGCGGCGGCGGGUACGCAGCCCCCAGGUUGGCAGCAGUGCGCGCGCCCAGCCCGUGCCCGGCUCUCCGCCCGCGCCGCGCGCUCCCGGGCCUGCCCCGAGCGGCCCCGCAGCCGGCGCCCCGGAGGCCCGGGCUGUGCGAGCGCUCUCCUCCCGCCUCGUCUCGGACCUGCCGUCUCCCGAAGGGCUUUAGUUGCACUGGGUCAUUUAAAAGUAAAACAGUGAUUCUGAUUCCUUGCUGUAAAAUGCAGGAAGAUCCACUCAGAGCUGGCCUGAAGGUUUGUUUUUGUGCCACCAGCAGAGAAAUUCCCUACCCGGAUGGCCGUUACAAAACAGCGUGAGAGACGGGUGGUGGUUAACCUAGUCCGAGGGAAAAGUGCUGAUUGCCCACUGCCGGCCUCCGCUCGCUUGCUCAGCUCUCUGCGCCGACCGCUCCACUGGCGGCUCCUCCUCUCGGCUCUUCCUCGGAGACCACGGUGCCGGCGCGCCCGCCGCCCGCCAGCGUUGUCCGGGCUCGCUGCGCGCGCGCUGAGCUUUAGGUGGGCUCUCCUCUGCGCUCGGCGCCCGUGUGUCCUCGGCUCCCGUCACUAUCGCUUCUCUAUGGAAUUAUAUAGAGAAAAAUACAGACAGACGUCCACGUCUGUGACUCUGGCCUAAAGACUGUAACUUUGUCACAUUCUCUUCCAGUCUUUUUUUUUAACAACCAUUUAGUUUUUCUUUAAAAAAAAAAUUAUGCCGACCUUCUGACUUUGAUUUAUUUUGCUGCUAACGGAAGGCAAGUGGACCAAAGGAGCCUAAAUGCUCACGAACAAUGGAGGCGCUGCCCCGCGAGGGUCUCGGGGCGCCCUCCGGCCGCAGCCUUGGCAGGCACGACCGGCCCGGGUGGCUGCGGCCGCGGCAGAGGCUGCCGGUGCCCCCCGGACCCUGCCAGACCGCAGGAGCCCUCUCUCCAGCCUCUCCUCGGAGAAGCCCGAGCCCGUCGCCGCGCCAAGUGGGGACGCGCUGACUGCUGGCAGUGCUCCAGCCCCGCUCGGGGCUCGAAAAUAGAGCGAGGGGAGACACGCGCUCUGGGCACCUGCGGAGGCGCCGGCGAAGGGGAGAACGGCGUGGGUGGGGAGCGCGGCGGAGGGGAACCGCUGCCCUCCCUCGCACAGGCCUGCUCCCGUCCAAAGAGCCAGGACUUCGUAUCAAGACCGACCGGAGCGCGCUCGUCCCCGUCGGCCAGGAGCUCGUGGACCUCUGUGCCGGCCCUCCCGCAAGGCCAGAUUGUGGCAUCAACGGCGAGUACGCGGGGACUUAAACAUAGCCCCGUCCCGCCUAAAACGGUAGAUUCGCAGGGUGCUUGGGGGGAGGGGGUGCACAAGUAGUCCCCACGCAACGAAGAAGAAAGAACGAGAGGAGGGCGAACCCCUGGCCCAAGUCGGGAGACAGGAGGCGAACGGACAGAACCUCCACUAACUUGCCUAGAGAGCGCGCAGAAGUGAGCAAGGGAUCACCGGAGAGAAGGCGCAGAGGGGCAGCCGGAGCCUGUGCCCGCAAGGCCGAGGACGCGGAGGGUCUGGCUCUUUGAGAAAUAAGGCAACGGGGGGGAGGGGCCGUUGGGCGGCGGGCACCUGACGGGCACCUGACGGGCAAGGAACAGGAAGCUCUGCCAGGGUCUGGCCUCCCAGGAUCGUGGAAAUUCGUGUUGGCCUGCGCAUCUUCCGCUUUUCCACCUUUCAGAAAACUGGAAAAAGUGGUAAAAUGUGACACAGGCCCCAGCGAGAUUUGAACUCGCGACCCCUGGUUUACAAGACCAGUGCUCUAACCCCUGAGCUAUGGAGCCAGCCGCGAGCUUUUUUCCUGCGCUUCAGUAAUUGAUUCCGCCAUUGUGACCGCGCAGCCGCAGACAACCGCGCGGAGAAGCUAAAUGACAAGAGGUGAGCCGGCGUCUCUCGGCCCGUGAGAACCCCCGGACGGCACCAAUAAGCGUCGGUGACAUGGGCCGAGCCUGGAAUUGCGGGACUCUCCCCGAAGAUCCUCUGAGGAGGAAAACAAAGCAGGAUGUUCAUGAAUGACACAGGAGAUCAUCUAUCUGGCAAUGACAGUGACACCACCUCCUCUGACAUCUAUAGCCCCACUGGCCCCUCACUCCCCAGACACUGAGAUGAUGUGCAGACCUGGGUCAAGCGUUGGGGCAGAGAGGGGGCAGUAUUCCAGCUCUACCUCUCCCAGUUCCCCCUCUUUGCCUGGAGCUGGGCUGAGCUGAGCUCUCCCUCCUCAUCCCUCUUUCUGUCCCCAACAUCCCUCUACCCCUCCUGCUCCUGGGGGAAGUUUCAUGCCCUGAGGGGGCCUGGAGAGAUUUGCCCCCUCUCCACACCGGUCUGGCCUUGAUGCACACCAGCUCCUGUCUUCUCACACAGUUUCUAGAAAGGCACAUCCUUUCCAGACCCUCAAAUACCAGAAACAUACCCCCGCCACCUGCACCGCCUGGCCCAGCCCCCACACACCUUUGAACUUCUUGAGCAGGCCCUUUAAGACAAAGGUCUUCAGGGAAACAUUCCAGACUUUAUUCUUCAUCUCAGACGAGACUGUGGUUGGCUUGGGGCCAGGCACGUUGCUACACCUGCAGAACAAGGGCCCUGAGGAAAGCCCACACUGUCCCACUCCCACCAGGCUGUGACAGAUAGGAUGGUGAGGUCCUUUUGGUGGAGAGAAGUGGAAAAAGGAGAGGGUGACCUCCUGCUGGAAUACCCAUGACAAAGCAGGCAGAUGUUUGCCUCAGAAGGUACCCAGAAUUGUCACUGGAGCCAUACGCUGGGACCCACCAAUGCCUCUGCUCUUGACACCACUCAAGACAAGUCACAGCCGUUAUGCAACGACUGGUCACUCAGACGAGUGUCUUUUCAAUGGCUGUUCUUGAUCCAUUUGUGACUUGUGAAGUUUAUUUACUAGACUGUGACUAUUUUAAAAGGAAAUAAAAUGGAAUGGAAAACGUCAAAGUGCAUCACAUGUAGUAAAGAGCUUCACCCCUGUUUUCAGACACAGACUGGCGUUCCUGAUCCUCUUCACAUUACGUGAACACGCGGGAGGGCCUCCAUGUGAUAUAAGGAGCGAAGCCUCUCAAGGCCAGUGACAAGUGAGAAGGAUUGUGUCCCUCCAGGACAAGCUCGACUGUCAAAGUUCCUCUUCCCUGAAAACUCUAGGGGAGAAAGGGAUGGCUGGAGGAGGAGACUGUGAGUGGGUCUUGAAGUAAGGAGACCUGGGUUCAGGCCACAGCUCCCUGGGACCUUCAGCACCGGAUGUCAGGCAAGCAACUGCAGCAGCAUGGGGCACUUCACAGGUGUUAACUCCAUCAACGCUGACAACCCAAUGACAUGGGUACACUCUCAUUCCAUUUUACAAAUGAGGAGACAGAGAGGCAUGUCACCAGUAAGUGGGAGGACAGGUUCUAACCCAAGGAGUCUGACCCCAGAGUCUGAACUUCUUGCAGCUAUAUCAUAUGACCUCCCAAGGAAAUAAUACAAGUGGAACAUGUGCCAAAAUAUUCUAAGUAAGGGUUUCCCAGCCUCGGCACUAUUGACAUUUGGGGCGAGGUGAUUCUUUGUUGUGGGCUGUCCUGUGCUUGUAGGAUGCGCCAGCAGCAAUCUACCUGCCCCGUGUUAACAACCAAAAAUAUCUCCAGAUAUUGCCAAAGUCUGCUGGGGGCCAAAAUGGCCCCCAGGUGAGAAGCACUCUUCUAACUGGUAAGAGCAUUUCUAGAUAAAGGGAUUCAUCUCCCUGUUGACAUGUA